rnacentral:rRNA from 1 species
GACGAACGCUGGCGGCGUGCUUAACACAUGCAAGUCGAGCGGGAAACUUCGGUUUCCAGCGGCGGACGGGUGAGUAACACGUGGGCAACCUGCCUCACAAUGAGGGAUAGCCUUUCGAAAGGAAGAUUAAUACCUCAUAACACAAGAGAAACGCAUGUUUCUCUUGCCAAAGAAUUUCGUUGUGAGAUGGGGCCCGCGGCGCAUUAGCUUGUUGGUGAGGUAACGGCUCACCAAGGCUUCGAUGCGUAGCCGACCUGAGAGGGUGAUCGGCCACAUUGGAACUGAGACACGGUCCAGACUCCUACGGGAGGCAG